CCCAGCGUGCGGGCUCCGGGGCCGCCACCGAGCCGGGACGAGGGCGUGCAGGCCGGUGACUUCCUUCAUCCGAGGGACACCCCAGAUCCGCUGCCAUUUUAUGACCGAGGCUAAGUGGCGGCGACACGUGCACAGGUGGUAAGAGGCCAAGCUGUCAGGCUGAAAACGGCUUCUUUCUUUUCCUGCCGCGGAAGUGGGGGCGACACGAGGCAGCAUCCAGGCAGUGUGGUCCUGGUCCUCUGCUGUCCCUUGUCCACGCACAGGGAGGACCUUUGGUCCCUGCCCAGAGCCUCAGGUUCCAAGGCCUGGAAGCUGGUGGGGAGCCCUUGGGAGGAACUGCUGAGGACGUUGGAGGUCGCCUUCCUGUGUAGGCCUCCUAGGCCCCCAGACACUACCCUGCCCCCGGGAAAGGUGGCCCCCAACACUGACUGCUGCCCCCCACCCCCAUGUGGAUGGCAUCACAGCACAGCAGUGAGGUGGCUCUAAGGUGAGCAUGUUUGGGGUGUCUCUCUAGAGGGGUGUAUGCCCAUCUGAAGCCCUUUCUCACAUGCAGCCUCACAACAGGUGCUGAGUUAUUCCCCUCCCUUUACAGGUGAGGAGGUAGGGGCUCUGGUUAGGUGAGGUGCUGUUGGUGUUAAGGUCCCUCAUCUUCUGGGAGACUGACUGGGGGUUCCCAGACCCUUGGGACUCCAUCUAGAAAAUGCCCUGGGGGGCAUAUUCCAGCAGCCCUCGAUAAAGAGCUUCAGAUUACCCCAGGGAGCCUAACUGGGCAGGGGAGAUAAGCCCUAGGGAGGUUUAUCUGAGCCCUGAGGCCAGACUCAGGGGACUGGGCCCUACUAAAUGGACCCCAAAGAGCACAACAGCGGGGUGGGAUUGCUGCUGUGAAGGGCCUCUUCUCCCCACUCCCCCUGCCCCCCACCAGGGGAUCCACCCAUGAGCACCUGUGCUUGCUCACCUCCAUAGGUUUCCUCCUGCCUAGAAUACCCUCUGUCCCCAGCUCUCCACUGCCUGUCCCCAAGGCCCAGAUCCUCUUCUGCCUCCUUUAGCUCCACCCUGCCCCACGGGCAACACCCUCUCUGAGUUCCCAUGGCAGUUCUCAUGGGUCCUUUUUCCAUUCCAUGCUCAGGGAAUACCACACAACGUUCUGGGUGCCAAGGAGCAAGGGGCCCAAUGCCUGGUCCCUGUCCUUGGAUGGUGGGUUGCUGCUGCAGUGGGUUAUAAACUGUAGGAAGACAGAACCAGUUCCUAGCUCCCUUUGGCGCCCCCCACCGACUCUCUCACACACGCGUGUGCGCGCACACACACACACACACACACACUAGGUGCUCUUUGAAUGUCUCUGGCUGAUGGUGAUCUCUGAGCUUCCUUCCUGCCAUGCCAGCAAGCAGCACAAGGAGCCUGAGCUUGAAAAAUGGAGGCACUCAGAGAUCUUGUGGCAUUCUUGGAAGGACCCUUGGAUGCAUCCAGCAGCCUUCCAUAGAGACCUGGAGGGCCUCUCUGUGGGGCUCCCCAUGAACUGAAGAGAGAUGAAGGCUGACCUGACCAAAGACUAUAGUGGGAAGAAUAUUCUAAAGGGAGCAUGAACUUCUGCAAGAGAACAUCGGAGCCCUCAUGGGGACAGGGAAGUAGGCAGGUGAAUGCCCUGCUGAAGUCCAAGAGGCCCACCGGCUCUGUUGGCCUCGGUGGCUUGCUGGUCUGUCUCCCCCUGGAUUGGGAGUGCCUUGAGUGGAAGCUUAUCUGGCAAGGGGUCUCGUGGGGGUGAGGGCUCAAAAAAUGUCUCCUGAAUACUCUGGGGGCCAAACUUUUGGAAGCAGAUGGGCCCCGUCCUGAUCUAGGGGAGAGGAUGAUGUGUUGACAUUGGCUCAGUGCCUUCUCUUUGCCAGCCUCGUGUCUGAUCAGGCCAAGGGCAGAGCAGUGAGAACCAUCCUUUAAGAGAUUUGGCAGAUCGUGUUACUUCUCUGCUCAGCAUGCCACCCCACCGCCAUUCUCCCCUGGUGGCCUCCUCUCUUCCCCUCAAAGAGAUUAGGCGGGGUCCUCAGGCCAGCUGGCCGGCCGUCCUUGCUGUUCCCUCUGCCUGGACCCUGGGCAUCCCUGUGGCCCUCCCAGCCUCCCUCAGGUACUUGCUGAAUACCAUCAUCUCUGUGAGACCCACCCCAUCAUCCCUCAUCCCUCAUCCAUGCACCAUGUCCUAUUUCUUUUCUGUUUUUUUAGAAGUGUUUCUCUCCUAACAUGCCGUAAACCCACUUUCCUGUUUAUUGCAUAUUAACUGUCCGCUCCCACAGAAAUGUGAGCCCCCCUGUGGCAAGGACUGUCCCCCUUGGCCUAGGUCUGUCUCAUUCAUUGCUGUAUUCUCAGUGCCUAGAGCAGUGUCUGGCACACAGUUGAGUGAACGCACUCUCAUUCUUACCCUUCAUCACCAACUUCAGCCUCUCCGGGAAGCUUCCCCCAUGGCUCUUGACCAUCUCUGCUAUCCUUGCCUGCCCCAGAGCUGGCGUGGUGCUGGGACAGAGGAUGUGCCUGGUGCAUGCACUGCUGGAUGUCUGGGCCUAGGGUUGCCAAAUAUUCUCUUUAUGGAGCCGCUGGUGUCAGCCUCCUGAGAUUGCCCCUUUUUCUGGAGACAAGGCUAGCCCUUUGGCGAAGAAGACAAGAGUAUCCAGGAAGAAAAUAUAGGUUCAUCUCCUCCUUGGGCCAGAGAGGAGAGGAACCGUUGUGCACUCUCAGUUUCUUGGAUUGAUCCGACAUUUAUAGGCUAGGACAGAACACAUCCAUUUCCAGAAUAAACACCCUCAUUGACUAUGAGGAGAUGGCCACGAGAAGCCAUGUGCCCAUGCACUCUGACAGCUGGGAGCCAGGCCGCCUGGAUCUAGUGCUGCUGAGGCCCUGGAGGGUGCACCGGUAACGAGGCUGCAGUCCCGCAGGUGAUCCUGGUGCGGCAAAUGGAGGAGUUUCCCUGCCACUGUGGUGACCUCGUGGGUAAAAGCCUGUCGGAACCACCCAGAGCUGAGGUGGCAGCGGACUGUGGGAAUGGUCUGUGGGGACGAGCCACCGAGUGGGGAGGCAGGCUGGCAAAAGUGUGAUUGGGGCCUGGGAUUGGAGUUGCAAACUCUGUCUCCACUUGGCACCUUAUUUUGAACCAGUGUUGUAUGAUGUGAUAAGGUUUGGCUAAGCGGGCACUGGGCCCCCUGCACCCCAGAGCUCGGUACUCUGGCAUAAGGCUGCCCUUCUUUCAGUCCUCUGUUGAAACUCUGAGGAAUCUCUGGGUGGCUCAGCGGUUUAGCACCUGCCUUCGGCUCAGGGCGUAAUCCUGGAGUCUAGGGCUCCAGUCCCACAUCGGGCUCCCUGCAUGGAGCCUGCUUCGCCCUCUGCCUGCACCUCUGCCUGUGUGUGUGUAUCUCAUGAAUAAAUAAAUAAAAUCUUAAAAAAAAAAAGAGAGAGAGAGAAAGAAAAGAAACAUGAGCUCUCCCAAGAGGAAGAACUCUCUGAGCUCAUUGGAAUGAACUGUGGAUCCACAGGAGAUUUAACCGUGACCAGCACAACAGUGCGGAGAAGGUUCUAAAGGCAAGUGCUAAAAGAGGUUCUUAUGAGCCAAACAGCCUGACUCGAUCUGCAUCUGAAUUUUUAUGAAUAGGAAGUCACUGUCCUUCACGACACUCCAUGCCUGUUCUACAGAGCUCUGAGAAGAAAAAUGUUAGUGUGCUUACUCCUUUGCAGGAACUAACCUUAUUUCUCUUCUUACCGUGGUGACUCGGAUACUCAGACCCAUAUUCAUGACUAUAUUAUCCUCCCUGAAUAUAUUUAAGUUCUACUUUA